rnacentral:rRNA from 1 species
AUUGUACGCUGGCGGCAUGCCUUACACAUGCAAGUCGAACGGCAGCACGGGAGCAAUCCUGGUGGCGAGUGGCGAACGGGUGAGUAAUAUAUCGGAACGUGCCCAGUCGUGGGGGAUAACGCAGCGAAAGCUGUGCUAAUACCGCAUACGAACGAUGGAUGAAAGCGGGGGACCGCAAGGCAUCGCGCGCUUGGAGCGGCCGAUAUCAGAUUAGCUAGUUGGUGGGGUAAAGGCCCACCAAGGCGACGAUCUGUAGCUGGUCUGAGAGGACGACCAGCCACACUGGAACUGAGACACGGUCCGAACUCCUACGGGAGGCAGCAGUGGGGAAUUUUGGACAAUGGGCGCAAGCCUGAUCCAGCAAUGCCGCGUGCAGGAUGAAGGCCUUCGGGUUGUAAACUGCUUUUGUACGGAACGAAACGGUGAGCUUUAGUACAGUUUGCUAAUGACGGUACCGUAAGAAUAAGCACCGGCUAACUACGUGCCAGCCGCCGCCGUAA